AUUGAACGCUGGCGGAAUGCUUUACACAUGCAAGUCGAACGGCAGCACGGGGGCAACCCUGGUGGCGAGUGGCGAACGGGUGAGUAAUACAUCGGAACGUGCCCGGUCGUGGGGGAUAACGUAGCGAAAGUUACGCUAAUACCGCAUACGCUCUGAGGAUGAAAGCGGGGGACCUUCGGGCCUCGCGCGAUCGGAGCGGCCGAUGUCAGAUUAGGUAGUUGGUGGGGUAAAGGCCUACCAAGCCGACGAUCUGUAGCUGGUCUGAGAGGACGACCAGCCACGCUGGGACUGAGACACGGCCCAGACUCCUACGGGAGGCAGCAGUGGGGAAUUUUGGACAAUGGGCGCAAGCCUGAUCCAGCCAUUCCGCGUGCAGGACGAAGGCCUUCGGGUUGUAAACUGCUUUUGUAUGGAACGAAAAGGCUCUGGCUAAUACCUGGGGCUCAUGACGGUACCGUAAGAAUAAGCACCGGCUAACUACGUG
rnacentral:rRNA from 1 species